GACGAACGCUGGCGGCGUGCUUUACACAUGCAAGUCGAACGGUGAAGGUGGAGCUUGCUCCGCCGGAUCAGUGGCGAACGGGUGAGUAACACGUGGGCAACCUGCCCCUAACUUUGGGAUAACUACUCGAAAGAGUAGCUGAUACCGGAUAUGAAGUCUGUAGGCAUCUAUGGAUUUGGCACGUUUUUCGGUUAGGGAUGGGCCCGCGGCCUAUCAGCUUGUUGGUGAGGUAGUGGCUCACCAAGGCGACGACGGGUAGCCGGCCUGAGAGGGCGAACGGCCACACUGGGACUGAGACACGGCCCAGACUCCUACGGGAGGCAGCAGUGGGGAAUAUUGCGCAAUGGGCGAAAGCCUGACGCAGCAACGCCGCGUGCGGGAUGAAGGCCUUCGGGUUGUAAACCGCUUUCAGCAGGGAAGAAGCGAAAGUGACGGUACCUGCAGAAGAAGCACCGGCUAACUACGUGCCAGCCGCCGCCGUAA
rnacentral:rRNA from 1 species